AUUGAACGCUGGCGGCAGGCCUAACACAUGCAAGUCGAGCGGAUGAAGGGAGCUUGCUCCUGGAUUCAGCGGCGGACGGGUGAGUAAUGCCUAGGAAUCUGCCUGGUAGCGGGGGAUAACGUCCGGAAACGGGCGCUAAUACCGCAUACGUCCUGAGGGAGAAAGUGGGGGAUCUUCGGACCUCACGCUAUCAGAUGAGCCUAGGUCGGAUUAGCUAGUUGGUGGGGUAAAGGCCUACCAAGGCGACGAUCCGUAACUGGUCUGAGAGGAUGAUCAGUCACACUGGAACUGAGACACGGUCCAGACUCCUACGGGAGGCAGCAGUGGGGAAUAUUGGACAAUGGGCGAAAGCCUGAUCCAGCCAUGCCGCGUGUGUGAAAAAGGUCUUCGGAUUGUAAAGCACUUUAAGUUGGGAGGAAGGGCAGUAAGUUAAUACCUUGCUGUUUUGACGUUACCAACAGAAUAAGCACCGGCUAACUUCGUG
rnacentral:rRNA from 1 species